GACGAACCGUGCGAACGUUAUUCGGAAUUACUGGGCGUAAAGGGCGCGUAGGCGGCCUGUUAAGUCGAACGUGAAAUCCCCGGGCUCAACCCGGGAACUGCGUCCGAGACUGGCAGGCUCGAAUCCGGGAGAGGGAUGUGGAAUUCCAGGUGUAGCGGUGAAAUGCGUAGAUAUCGAGAGGAACACCAGUGGCGAAGGCGAGUCCCUGGACAACACCUGACACUGAGGCACGAAAGCCGGGGGAGCAAACAGG
rnacentral:rRNA from 1 species